rnacentral:lncRNA from 1 species
GUUUUCCGUGCAGCCGAUUGGGGUUUUGGGCGCUCGGAGCAGCAUCUGAGAGGGCUCACUCUGAUCAUCAGCUGCACGUUAAGCCACAAACCGGCGUCGCUUCGGCGUUCCGGAACCCAGGCCUGGGGGCCGCGGGGAUUGCCUCUGCGUGCAACUCCGGAAAGUUUCAAGGGGUCCCCCGACUGCACAGGUCCGGAAAUCGGCUUUGAUAUGGAACUACUCCGCUCUAGCCUGGAAAGGAGACCCGCGCACUCCUCUCGCAGCUAAUUUCGGAUCAUUAAUUUAAUCGGAAAUGAGGUAACCAGUGUAGGAGACAGAGAAAGCAACCGGAGCAUCAAAUGGCAGUUCUCGAGAAUCGACGAGGAACUUAAAUCUGGACUCAGGGUUUCAGUGCGGUCUCCGACUCCCACCACCCCGCCCCUCCGCCUGUCUCGCCGCCAGGUGUGACCUCCACGCGAAGGAAUCUUCUUCGGAUGGGUGCACCUUGCCAA